rnacentral:lncRNA from 1 species
GAGCUAGGGUUUCCAGAAAAUUGAAGAGGUAAGGGGGGAAUCCUUGUUAUUAUGGGUUAGUAUGAUCGGGUCAAUGGGUAGAUGUAUGUUAGGUUAAAAUCCUUAAUUUUGUAUGGUUGUUUGAAAUUGUUAGGUUGAUGAGUAUUCUCGAUUUGUGGUGAUUUGAUUGUGUUAGAACUGUAAAUUAAUAUUAUAUACUUAGAGUAUUGUAUGAGUCAUAAUUUUCUGAAUGUUUGGCUUUUUACGGAAUC